rnacentral:rRNA from 1 species
UACGAAGGGAGCUAGCGUUGUUCGGAAUCACUGGGCGUAAAGCGCACGUAGGCGGAUGUGUCAGUCAGGGGUGAAAUCCCGGAGCUCAACUUCGGAACUGCCCUUGAUACAGCACGUCUUGAGUCCGAGAGAGGUGGAUGGAAUUCCUAGUGUAGAGGUGAAAUUCGUAGAUAUUCGCAAGAACACCAGUGGCGAAGGCGGCUCACUGGCCCGGUACUGACGCUGAGGUGCGAAAGCGUGGGGAGCAAACAGG